UACAUAAAUUCCUCAUAAAAAAAAAAGAAAAUACUAGAAAAAUAUUUAAACACCUAAGCAAGAGGCACCACUAACCAAACACUGCCAUGAAGACCAAGGGACUCUCCAAACAAGGGGACACCUUCUCCUGGGCAUCACCCUUCUCUCUCCCAUCCUGGUCAACAUCUUCUCCACCCUGUAUUCAUAAAAAAAGAUUAGCGACCAUCCAUCUUGUCACCAGGAGAGGAGCUCAGGACGUACUCUACCAUGCUCACCCCCAGGCCUCCACCUUCUGAGCGAGGCGAAAGCACAGAAUUGGCAUCACCAUUCCCAUGGAAACUCUGGCCUGGUCGCCGCUGCACCAUGAUUGGCUGAGACACUGAAUGAUCUGAAUGAAAAGCUGCGAUCAAAUAUCUAAAUAGUUGUUUAUAUAUAAUCUAUAGCUGGGUAAAUACCCACUCAGAUAAAGGCAACACUGAAACUCACAGUCAGCGGCUGAGACAAAAUGCCAUUUCCAAUCAUGUAAUUUGACUUUGAAUAAAGUCUGUAUAUUUA